UACGGGGGGAGCAAGCGUUGUUCGGAUUUACUGGGCGUAAAGGGCGCGUAGGCGGCCACCGUAAGUCGACUGUGAAAUCUCCGGGCUUAACCCGGAAAGGUCAGCCGAUACUGCGGGGCUAGAGUGCAGAAGGGGCAACUGGAAUUCUCGGUGUAGCGGUGAAAUGCGUAGAUAUCGAGAGGAACACCUGCGGCGAAGGCGGGUUGCUGGGCUGACACUGACGCUGAGGCGCGAAAGCUAGGGGAGCGAACGGG
rnacentral:rRNA from 1 species